UGGGGAAUAUUGCACAAUGGGGGAAACCCUGAUGCAGCGACGCAGCGUGCGGGAUGACGGCCUUCGGGUUGUAAACCGCUUUCAGCAGGGGAAGAAGCGCAAGUGACGGUACCUGCAGAAGAAGUACCGGCUAACUACGUGCCAGCAGCCGCGGUAAUACGUAGGGUACGAGCGUUGUCCGGAAUUAUUGGGCGUAAAGAGCUCGUAGGUGGUUGGUCACGUCUGCUGUGGAAACGCAACGCUUAACGUUGCGCGUGCAGUGGGUACGGGCUGACUAGAGUGCAGUAGGGGAGUCUGGAAUUCCUGGUGUAGCGGUGAAAUGCGCAGAUAUCAGGAGGAACACCGGUGGCGAAGGCGGGACUCUGGGCUGUAACUGACACUGAGGAGCGAAAGCAUGGGGAGCGAACAGGAUUAGAUACCCUGGUAGUCCAUGCCGUAAACGUUGGGCACUAGGUGUGGGGGUCAUUCCACGUUCUGCCGCGCCGUAGCUAACGCAUUAAGUGCCCCGCCUGGGGAGUACGGU
rnacentral:rRNA from 1 species